CAGAGCAGCCGUGGACUCCUGUCGAGAAGAACUGUUGUAUCUGUCUUUGUUUGGCUGGCUUCAGGGGGCAGGUGCACGGCGGGCUCAAAUCCUUUCGCCACGCUUCCUCCUUCUUCUCCUCUAACAAGGCCACAAAAUGACUCAUCUCUCAUUGGGCGGGUGAGAUGCCCUGAGAAACAGCGCAGAGCAACACACCAGAGUAUUUCCACUCUCCAGAACAACGGAGAUACGUUUCUCCCAGUCUCCAAGAGUUCUCUAUGAAAAUGAAUGCAGUCUGCCAAGUUCCAAGUGGGAGGACAGAAAAUGGGAGAGAGAGAAAGUAGGAGCCUAAUCCUCUCUCUUCUGUUCACCCAGGGUGCUGCUGCGUGAAUGAAGCUCAGCUCGUCUCAUUCUCACACUGUUCAUUUGAGCACUGUUCAGUGAGCAAAGAUCACCGUUAGAAGACACCUCACCGCUUCUCCUACAGGGCUGCUUUAUGACCGAUACGUCUUGUAUAAACAGAAAUCGACCCUGUGACAUUGGGUUUGAAAAUGGCAGUUGUCUGCGUGUUUGACCCAUGAGCUGCAGGUGCCUUGAUUGGCCCCGAGUCCCCAUCCUGACACUCGUGACUGACUGACAGGACAGGCGCCAGCAGAAUGAUGCAUUGUACGUCCAUCCACCCCGCAACCUUCUGGUAUGGCCUGGGAAGAGCUGGGAGUCAUUAACUUUUAAAGCAGGUAGGCUGAGAGAGAGAAAAACAGAAGGGUCAGUCAGGCACAAGGGCCAAUGUCCAUACUGCGCUCUGUGGCAUACCAAUCCCUCCCAAAACCGUCUCGAACGGGCCUGACGGACAAGCGCGAGAGGGCAGGGCGCAACCCGGCUACCGCGGGGUGGCGGGUAUGCUGCCGCUAUCAUCUGCCGUGGGCACAGGUGGCAUUGAGGAUACGGGUGGGUAUGUGUAUGAGUGUGUGCAUCAGUGGAACGAUAAGGUUGAUUGACAGGUCUCAUCAGAGACAGCCUAAUGACACCCCAAACCACCAAUUAGGGCUCAUCAAGGUCCCCAAUUGAAUGUCGCUGAUAAAUAAUGUAUGCCUUCAGUAAUUCCACAUAAUCUUGAUACUGGAGAGUCAAAGGUGUAUGCAUUAUUAAUGGGGCCAAAUUGGACUUUAAUAACUGCCUCAGUGAAUCCUACACGGUAGAGGAAUUCACUUAUGUUAAUAUGGCUUUAUUAUUAAUGGGGUGACGGUUUUCUGAAAUGUUAACUGACUAAAGCACUCCAGAGGCAAUUCCCAAGAUUGACGAGUCCUCCGUCCGAGAGAAGGGGUGCGUUCUUAUUUAUUUACCGGUUCACCUGUAGCACAUCGGACCAGACCAUUAGAUCAGUAAUUUGCUCAUCAAAUCCUUAGCUUGUAUCAGAAUGGCACAAUUACGCGGGUCGUGUGUUCAGAAGACCGAGCGCCAUUAAUCCCAUAUUAGUUUAAGAAGGACUGACUUACUUUUAGCAAACACAGAUGAGCCGAUAAAGUUGGUGCCGGAUAGUUUGUUUGGAGCGUCGCUGUUGCCUUAAUUGGGUGUUUGGGUGACAGUGCAGGCUGAUGGGAUCCUAGAGAAUAUCGCUAAACGGCAUUACUUAAUGAUGAGCGUUUUAUCUGAAAGAUCUCCUGUGGAUUAACGCACCACCACAUCAUGUGUUUUGAGUAGGAAGACUAAUAUUUGCAGUAAACCUGCUCAGUCAUUAGGCUGAGGAGCAAUUUCCUUAUUCGUUCCUGCUCUUGAGGUCUUAAUGAAUGCACAUUUUACAAACAGAACUUUGCAAGAGUGUUCUGACAGCACACUAUGGUUCUAACACUGAUUCUUGGCUUUAUGUGGCAUCUGUAAAUUUGUUGAAAUCUGUGACAUCUAUGCAUGCAUCCUGGAAAGGGAAGAAAAAUGAUUGAAUUGUUUAUGUUGCCUAGGCAUUUGCAUACGUCCACAGCGCAUCAGAGGCAGGGUUCUGCUUCGCUUCUCUGAACUAAUCUACCUGGCAAAGGCUCUGAGAUGCUGCUGGCGCAUAAACGGAUCACAGCCCACUUGCACAACAUCACAAAGAAGCCAAAUGAAAAUGCAUGUUUUUCAAUGUGUGGACACUUCUGUGAUGAUCACUACUGAAUAUUUCUUUUAUACUCUCUGUACGAUGUGUCUUGAGGUGUCCCUUUGUGAAUUGGUCGGUACUACUUUUAAGGUUAGUUACAUAAUUUUCCUUCCAUAAAGUGUUUUUUUUUUUAAGUUUGUUUAUCUUUAGGGAAUUCAGGCAGCCUUUGUUUCAAUUCCUAUUUUUAUUUUACUGUAGGAAGAGUAAUCACAGUACUUUCCAGUAGUUAUCCACAAAAAUAGUAGUUGUAACCAUUUUCUCCAUGUUUUUGCAAUCUGGUUGGACCCUGGUAAUUUCCGCUUGCAGCUAGAAUUUUCUUUUGAUUUUGUUUGAUGUAUUUGGUCUAUGGUCUUCUAUCCAUUGUGUGUCCCUCUGUUCUUUAAAGCCCAUGGGCGUGCUGCGAGUUCCUAAAAAGCUCCUGCAAGCAUUUGUUAGAGUGGACUAUUUUUGAUGCCGGUCCAACCGAGAAGUGUAAAAUCUCCUAAAUAUCCGAUACAGGUGUCGUUUUCCAUUUACCCAAUUUGAACAUUUACACGAAAACCAAUCGUGCUGGUACGACCUUCGGUGUUAUUUUAGAAUGACAAAAAUGAAGAUCAUUAAUAUUGAAAACUGAUUUUAUUUCUUCCCUGUCACUGUUAUCAGAAGUGAAUUAAAUUCUCCAUUUGUGUUUUUUUAGCGUGUUGUAAAGGUGUUUAAUGGGUCUCCAGCGGCCUCAUAUCAACAGUGCGUAUGCACAAAUGUGUGUGUGGUGAGUGCAAACCUUUUAUUUAAAGCACAAUGUAAAAGACACACUUAACAGAACAAUUUAUGAAAAAAGAAAUAAAAGAAGGAACAUUCAAACAAACUGAAAAAUAACAAAAAGAGGUUUGCAUAUGAAUCAUUAUUACAGAAAUUCUUCCAAUAAAAAAUUGAACGAGCAUGACGCUUAAGAACAUGUGGCAUUUAUCAACAAUGAUUACUCACUGGUAUGCGUAAGACCCGUGUACGCACGUUUGAUAAAUACAGAUUUUUUUGUACUUAGACACAUUCUAAAUUUGCUUCCUAGGACAAAAUAUAAAACCUUUUCUACGCACUGUUGAUAAAUGAGGCCCAAGGUGACUGGAGCAUUUUGAGAUUUGCAUGUGUACGGAUCAGGUCAGUCUAACUUGGGCUGAUAGCUGUUGUUGCCAGGGAAACGCUAUUGUUUGUGGGAUUAAUUAACGAGUGAGAUUGGAUGGUAGACUUUACCGCAGCUGGAGUCUCUUUUUACCUUGUUAACCUCUUCCUUCUCUCGCUCUCUCACCUCCAUCCCCCACUUUCUCUCUCUUCAUUAUGUGUUCAUCUGCCUGUGCGACUUGACUUCGUGCGCACGACUGAUACGGAAGAUCGAACAGGACAGGUGUUUUCCGUUUCAUCACGGGCAGUGUCUGAGGUUCGGGCAGCCGGAGAAGCGAAGGCAAGGGGGAAAGAUCGUCACAGGGCUGGCAGUUCAUCGUCUGCAUGCAGCAGGAGCCUAACAGACUUCCUGACAUCCCAUCAAUAUAUUGACAGCUGCUGUCACUCAGGCGGCUUUAGAGAUGAGCAGAGCUCUGGCACAUGAGGCUGAUGGCCUGCGUUCGAUUGGUUGUGUGUCGACUUAAAACCAACAGCAUUCUGGGCAGGUCUCUUGAUGUAGAUUUGGUCAUUGAUUUCUCACUAAAUCUUGUUCAUCAAAGCAAGUCUGGAUUCCUUAGGACUGAACAUCCAGUUCCUUGUUGUCCUUCCGACCGGACAUGGAGUAUCAGAACAGACUGUGAGAAACAUGUUUUAAAACAUGAUGAUAAUGUUCUAAACCCAGUGUGUCAUAUUGCUUGGAACAUCAAAAGUGACAGAAAUGCGGUGUGGCCACAGGAGAACCCGACCCCUUCUAAAAAUGUUUUAAGGGAUUGGAUCACAAGGUGCAUUGGACCCUGUUUACACUUGUGUUUGGAACUAUAUACUUUUGAUCUGCCCACCUGGGGCCCGUUUCAGUAAGGAGGUUCAACCAACACCGAGUUAAAAUGUGAACUCUGAGUUGAUUUACACCGAGAUGCGAAACUUUGAGUUUUUGGUCAACUCUGGGUAGGCUUACCUUGAGUUAAGCGCGUGCACCAAGACUACGACAAGCCAUGAUCAAUGGAGCUCCGAUAUUACGAUUCACCAUGGCAACGGCACCAAAGAAAAAGCAACAUGGCGGCAGAAAGCGCUUGAUAUAGGCACACUUAAAUAAAAAAUAGAUAAAUGUACCAAUAAACAAAUAAAUGAAUCAGAAAAUGAACGAAACAACAGAAAUAAAACAAAAAUAAAAAAUAUUAUGUUCUCACUCCCCAUCAGUGCUCUAGUGAUAACUGUGACUCGUCAUUGUGUAUAGGACACUUGUUAGGGUUCCAGACUCACGUGUCAAACUUAUCGCAGAUUUGGGUAGGAAUGGCUGCACCUCUAAAUUAAUUGUUUAUUACCUUUAUUGCUUUAUUUCUGCAUUUACAGUAUGUCUGUAUUUAUGCAUUUCUUUAUUCAUGCACUUUAUUUAUAUACUUUAUUAAAGGCGGGGUAACCGAUUUCCGAAUUACGCUUUAGAUAAGUGAGUCAGGCCGAAUACCAAAACAACCUUGUAGCCAAUCAGCAGUAAGGUGCACAGGACGGACAUAAGCCGAGUGCUGACGAAAGUGAAAGAUGGGGGUAGGGGUGUGUUUGUUUUGGUGAUUCGAACAUCAACAACGGCUAAGAGAAAUCGGACACCCCGCCUUUAAGUCAUUUCUCAUCCUCCAUAGAAAACUACCAUUUGUGAGAAAAUAACACACGGCUACGAUGGUUGAUGUUAUUGAUGUAAGGAUGGAUGAUAUGUUUUGAUAUAUCUAAUUCACUGUAAUGAAAAAUGGGACAGUUUUAGUAAAAAUGCACAGGGAAAUGACAAAAUUCCACUCGGGUCCUAAAUUGCUCUCCUGAAAUCAAAGAA